AAUAUUCUCACACAUAUUUCAGGGCUCUGAAGGCCUCUCUGACAUUUAAACUCUGAUCCAAACCAGUUCAUUGUGAGGAAAUAUCUCAGCUGAUGUAUCCUGCUUCAGCAGGAGUGCGAUGGAAGGGUUCAGAUAACCACUGGAAUAGGAAAAGUUUGGGUGAAGAAGCCUUAAUGAUUGUCCUCUGAAAAUCCUGCCCCCCUGGAUCAAAUGCUGGCAUCACUCAGAGCAAAGGAGAUGGUCCACCUCUGCAAGGAUACUUUGAAAAUGAAGUUGAGCUUUGGGGGCAGAUAUUCUUCAAUGUUUUUUAGUGAAUUCCAGUUCCCAAAAGGCCAGAAUUCUAACAAGUACUCUUGGGAAAAAAGAAAAAAAAAAAAAGAAAGAAACCAAACCUGCAAACAGCAGCAACAAAACCAAAAUGGUUUCUUUUCAAAGAGAUAUUUGCCAUCAGAAUUUCAUUGGGGUGAGGGAGAAAAACUCACACUUCCCCACAUGCUGCCAGUCAAGUGACUGACACGUCUCAGACUCAGCUGAGCUCUUCACAUGAAACUCUGGCACAUUGCCUUAAACUUCCAGGGAAUUGCCCUUUUUAAUGAGAAAAAAGAGAGGAGAAAUGCUAUUUGCCUUCUCUCAGCAGGCUCUGUGUGUACACAGCCAGCACAUUUGUUCUGUGAGUGACCGUCCUGGAGUGGUCACAGUGCUCUGGCCACCAGAGGCAUCAAGGAUUUCUGAGGGCAAAAUCUUCAGAGAAACUCACCCAAGUCAAUCAGAAAAUAGUCAUAAUCAAUAAUAGGAUUAAAUUCAUGAUCCAGGUCUUCUUUCAUAAUUUAAUUUCUGUAGGCAAAGCUGCAGCAUCAGUGUGGCAAAUACCCACGUUUGAGUCAGGAGUAGAUAUAAAUAAUAGUGGAUGUAAAUAAUAAGAACAUUUUAAGUUAAUUUUAUUUUUCUUUAAAUUUUUUUAAACUAUGUGAAAAAUAUCAGCUGUCAAGCCCUUUCAUGUCUCCUGGGGCUAUCUUAGUCUGGCGACCAUAUGCAGGUUUUGAAAGUGCAUUUUUGACAUUUUUGGAGCUCUGAUGAGCUGCAAAUCUGAGUGUCAUGAACAGAGGCUGUUCUGAGACCUGCUGUGUGCUCUCAUGGUGCCUCCACAUCCAGAAAUCCUCAUUUGUUCUCCAUUCACACCACUAUUCAUUUUUCCUUUGCAGAGCUCUUUGGUUCUACCCCAACAUAGGCUUUUUUUAGGUUUAUUUGUUGUUGCCAUAUUUAAUUUAAGUGUAAUAAUUUUUCUCCUUGCCUUAUAUAUUACAUUUUAAGUUCAAAGGCUCUUCCAAACCUUUUUGCAACAACAUUAUUUUGGGAGCCAGAUCAGUUUUGUAGUCAGCUGUGGAAAGUGAGAUUCAGGUUCUGGGGACUGAAGUCCCCAGAAGAUAUCUACAGAUUAUUACAGAGUUUGCAGUCUAUGGUAGCCUUUAAAAUUCCCUCAGAUCUGUAGAUUUUUGCUGUGCUCUCUAAAAUAAUGCUUUGCUACUCUUUAGUCAUUGUUUUAUACAGUACUUCAGCCAGUAAAUCCUUCUGUAAAUUCGGUAAAUCUUUCUGUGCAAUAGUAAUGCAGUGUCAUAUUCUGGAAAAUUAUUGGCUGUAUUUUAGUUUUGUGGGAUGUAGGUACCCCCUGAAGAACAAGACUGUGCUUUGUGUGUUUUCAGAUGUUCUUGAUGCCUUUGUUGCCUCUUGGAGAGUACAGAAACUUCAGGGUAUGGCAAAGAGAAACAUUUCAAAAUACAGACCAAGUUAUUGACAAGGAAUAAUAAGCAGUAGGUGAUUGUAGGAGAAAACUAGAUUAAAGUGAAAUUAUCACAGGUCUCACUUCUGCUGGGUCAGUACCAGCCUGCCCUGGAUCUUCUGAUGUCCUUGAAGUUUUUCUUUGAGGAAUUGGAGAUGUUGUUUUUUCUGUGCUCAAACAAGAAACGUACUUAUGUAUUUUUAAACAAGGUGUGUUCUGUCUGGGCAUUGUUCUGAGGAGAAUGUUGCUGUGCAUUUCCAAUGGGCAAAGAAUCCAAUUAGAGAAGCAUGAGGAGGUCUGAUAAAUACUGAAUCCUGCUUGAAGUGGGAAAUGAAAAAUAUCUGGAGGCACCAACCAAGCAUUCUUUUGAAUGCUAACAAAAAAAAGACAUUUAAUGCUUUAUGGUAAACCCUUCCAUACAGCCAAGAUGAUGGAGAGGACAUGAAUACAUGCUCAGGUUUUCUAUGUUUGUGCAGCUCAUUAAAGGAGUGAUCUGGAUUGUGUUUUGAAGCCUUCCUUGUGAAUAGAGGAGUGCAGAAGAAGUUAAGGAGUGCAGUGAGUUUAGCUUAUAAAAAUACCAGCUGCAGAGUGAAAAUCAGCAGAACCUUUAGAGGAAUUAACACCUUUCAGGUUCAGUGGGACCCUGCCAGCUUAACCUGGAUAUAGGAUAUAAUUCCCUGAGUGUAAAAGCCACAUCACAACAGAUGGAGAUAUGAAAUAAAGCAGCACAAAGAUGGUUUCUCCAAUCCCUCUGUAAGUGACUGGAGGUUCCAGUUUUAGGAGAGAGAAGGAGUUUGUCUUGAGCCUUGUCCAAAGGGGUGGGGAGCAGCUGAGCAUGGAAAUGGUCAGAAGGGAACAAGUAAGGCUUAAAGUUCCUAACCUCCAUUUUCCUCACCAGGAAUCCAAGGAAGUCUGCUUCACUCAUUUCUGCACCAUGGUUUUGUUGGUAGCUGAGCACACUAAAAUGCCUGUUUUACCUGUUUGCAGGGGAUUUACUUGUCCAGUAGUGUCUGUAAUUCUUUUUAAUCUACUUAAGGGAUUUACCAAAGCGCCACCAUGAGUGAGAAGGCAUAAUGCUGUUAUUCUGCCAUGGAAUAACAGGAAUAUCCUUCAAUAUGGGUAAUGUCUGUGCUUCCAUUCCUCAGCUUUUCUAUACUUCACCAUUUCCUGCCUUUCUGCUCUUUGUUUUCACUUUGGAAAUGUGUCAGUUCUCUCCAUCCCUGUUUGUUUACAUGAUCAAUAAUUCAACACAGGAUAUUUCCCGAGGAAACCCCUGAGAGAGGUCCAGGUGGGACCCACCACACUGCCAAGGGAUGUCUCAGAAUCUUCAUUUCCCCAGCUGCAGCGCCACAAGCUCCGUGCAGAGCCUUAAUCCUGGGGGUGCUCCCAUUUCUUUCACCUAAUUAGUGAUGUACCCUGAUUAAUUAUGGCUGCAGGCUGUGUCAGCCUGGGCAUAAACUGACAGGGAUCACCCCAGUGCAGCAUCAGGCUGCUGGCAAAACUGGGAGAUUUCUGGACUGGUUAACCCCCUUCAGAGGCAGAAAACACAUUUUUGUUUCUUUUCAAUGCCUCUGCAAAAGGUUUACAAUUGUCCUUAUUUGUAGUAGACAAACUUGCCAAAGAUUCCAAGGUUUAGUUUAACCAUUGAACUUUGGUGUCAGAGCCCAGCACAUCCCUCUGGCUGCCCUGGCUGCCUCCAGACCCUGGCAGGGGUCUCAGAGACCCUGGCACGAAGUCAAAAACACCUGUGGCUUCGAUUUUAACACAUGGAAAAAACUGCCAACUUUGUAUGAGGAAUUAUAAGCCACAAGGGUUUGAGUAGCGUGGUAGUUGAAUUAACACAGGGUAGAAAUAAAUAGAAUUUUGGAGUUUUUAAGAUAAGGGGUUCAAGAGGACAAGAUGGAGGGAUUUGGGCAUGUCCUGACCUUCUUCUUGUUCUUCUUGUCCUCCAUGUCUUGCUGUGAUGGUGACACUUUUCUAUUGGUUUAAGGUAGGGACACACUGUCCAACAUAAAUGUUAGAUAUUGGUAAUAAAUUGUAAACAUAGAAUACGUAACUUUUGAUAUAAAAGGCAAACACUGCCCGAGAGGGCACACAGAAUGUUAUUGCCUCCUUGCUAGCCAGAGCUCAGCAGGUCAGAGAGAAAAUAUUAUAGAUAAGAAGAAAUAAACAACCUUGAAAGCACAAUCAGAAGCAUUCCAAGACUCCUCAUUUAACUGUGUUCAGGCUAGGGAAGCAAAGACUCUUUCAGAUCUUUGAUAUUCCUCAACUACUUUUAAAACCAACACCUUUCCUUAAUUUCACUCCCUCCCCCACCCCUCUGCUUUAGAAAACUUCUGUUCUGAUUCUGGCAGCCUGUUUUCCUGGCUGCUCACUUUCCUCUGAGGUCCCAGCCUGUGCCCCGCACAUUUGGACACAAAUAAUCUGGGGUGUGUUAUUGCUCCCCUGUGACCCAGCUGAUACUUAGAAAGCCUUCGUGUUCAGCUUUCUCCAGAUAAAAGCAUGUUCAGCUUUCUCCAGAUAAAAGCAUGUUCAGCUUACAUGGAAUACUUUACAGCUCCUUGAAUAAAGAGUUCUUUCAUAUAUUUGGACAAAAUUAGAAAAAAAGUGUAACUGUGUUGUUGAAUGGUUCUCCUAUAGCACAGUAAGUAUGAAUGCAAGUGUGCUACUAAAUAUACAAACAUAAAUAAUUCUUGCUUUCUCUCUUCUUCCAGGCAGCAUAUUUUUCCUUUAUAACUCAUCCCUGGAGAAAGGUUCAUGAGUGAAAAAUCAUUGCUAACUUCAUUUUUUUGCCUUCACUGUGAAUUUCUUUCCUGGAGCAAUGAUAAGAAAUAAUAGAUGCAAUGUUUUCCUUCAGAAUCCAUACUGUGCAACAAAUUGUCUGGUUUAUUUGUUGUUGCCAUAUUUAAUUUAAGUGUAAUAAUUUUUCUCCUUGGCUUAUAUAUUACAUUUUAAGUUCAAAGGCUCUUCCAAACCUUUUUGCAACAUUAUUUUAGGAGCCAGAUCAGUUUUAUAGUUAGAUGUGAAAAGUAAGAUUCAAGUUUCAAGUCUCCCACUUCCUCCCUGGAUUGUAAAGCAAAAUCAGAGGCUACAACUUAAACUGGCACAAGAAGAGAGGUGUUUUCUUGGUGUCCCCAAAAAGCAGCUGAGCUACAGAAAUUCAGUGUUUGUAGCUCUUCAUCCUUGCAUGUCUCUGUUUCCCUCUCUGUAAUAUCUAAUUGCCAGGGAAGGAAUGUUCAGACUCUUUAAAGGCUGCAAAACCUCAGCCAGCUCCAAGAGGAUUGCAUGUGAUGGGUGCUGAGUUCAGUGCUGAUGGCUCUGCUCAAAACAGGUUUGGAGAAAACCCCUGGCUGGGCAGAUUCUUUUGUCACAUCUCAGCAACUUCAGCAAAUCUGAAGACAAAAGAAUUUCCUCAGUUACAUCUUUGUAACCCUGUUUUCUUCAUUAAUCUGAAGAGGAGACAUUUCUAAGAGCACAGGGUGUGAAUAAUAACCUCGUGUUCACCUUUGGGUUUGUGGGUCCAAUUUAUUUUGGCAGGUGAGUGUGGAUAUUAUCAGUUCAGUCAGAGAGAAAAGAUUUCUGCCAGGCUAAGCCUGGGAAAAAGUCUGAGAGGAAUGUCAAUACUGUUCAUAUUGUUUAUAGAUAUGUUCUACCAUACUGACCUAAGUGCAGUGCACCAAUCAGGUAAAAUGUUUUUAUUUUAAGACCAAUGGAAUCAAUGUUCACAAUGUUCUCUAUAAAAGAGAAGAGUACUUUUAAAUAAACCCUCAUUUUACCUUCUAAAAUCGUACAAGACAUUUCGCCAUUCCCUGGCUCAGCAGCGUCAGGUGAGGAGUCUCAUUAAUUGAGGAUGGAAAACGGAGAUUAGGGAAUAUUAAACCUGCACUGUGCUGAUAUUUGGUGUCCCCCGGGCAGGAGGUUGGGGGACAGAAUGAAUCCAGGUGUGUGAGGCAGUCCCAGAGCUGCAGCCAUCCUCAUCCAAGGGUGAGGUGGCACUGGGGUGUGACACCGAUCCUUGCUCUAUGUCAGUGGCACAGGACAGCCCCCAGUGUCUGUGGGAAUCUAGGGCUUACUUCUGGCUGCCCUGGCAGGUCUGGGACCCUGGCAGGGGUCAGGAACCCCCCUGGACAGAGCCCCCAGAGACACUGUCUGUGAUCUCUGUCCAUGGAAAAGAGUUUUCAAUCUUACAGGAUGAAUUACAAGCUCUGAGUCUUUGAUAUAAGCAAUAAUUAAGUGUGGCACGGGUGCAAAAGUAAAAUUUUAGGAUUCUAGAUUAGGGGUCCAAAGAGGACAAGAUGAAGGAAAUUGGGUGUGUCUUGUCCUUUCUCUCCUUCUUCCUGCCCUCCAUGUUUCACUGUGGUGUUGGCAUUUUUCUGUUGGUUCAGGCUGGGGACACACUGUCCAACAUAGGUGACAGAUAUUGGCACGUUAUUGUAAAUCCAGCACAGGUAGUUUCUGGUAUUUAAUGUUUGUAACAUCCCACUGAGGGUAGAGCCCCACACGCUGCCCUGCAGGACAGAGCUGCGGCAGGGCAGCAGAACAUGUUAGAGAUAAACAGAAUAAACAACCUUGAAACCAGCACAGACCAAUUAUGGCUUCUGCUUUGGCAGCGGGGCAGAAAGACAGAGACUUUCUACAAUCUUGGAAUCAUCAAUACCCACAGAUUCCGACAAGUGCCCUUUAACUCCAGCUGGGCACCCAAACCCAUCCAUGCUCCUGCCAUCUAGGCUUACCUGGAGCUCAGAAAACAUCAAAACACAGCUGAUCUUUUAUGUGUGUUAAAAAAAAGCAGGUUUGUAGGAGUACAAAUUACCCUUUGAGAGUUCUCUCAGAGCUCUUAAAGGCAAAAAGAAAAAAAA
ensembl:lncRNA